CGAAGGGGGCUAGCGUUGCUCGGAAUCACUGGGCGUAAAGGGCGCGUAGGCGGCCCUGUUGGUCGGGCGUGAAAUCCCCGGGCUCAACCCGGGGGCUGCGCCCGAAACGGCGGGGCUGGAGGCAAGGAGAGGCUCGCGGAAUUCCCAGUGUAGAGGUGAAAUUCGUAGAUAUUGGGAAGAACACCGGUGGCGAAGGCGGCGAGCUGGCCUUGAACUGACGCUGAGGCGCGACAGCGUGGGGAGCAAACAGGAUUAGAUACCCUGGUAGUCCACGCCGUAAACGAUGUGCGCUGGGUGUUGGGGGGCCUAGCCCCUCAGUGCCGCAGCCAACGCGGUAAGCGCACCGCCUGGGGAGUACGGCCGCAAGGUUG
rnacentral:rRNA from 1 species